GUUUUACCUGCAUGUAUGUAAGUGCACCACGUGUGUGCAAUGUCCUUAGGGGCCAGAAGUGUGUGUCAGAUCCUCAGAAACUGUAGUUAAGGACAGUUGUUAGCUGCCACGUGGGUGCUAGAAACCAAAUCUGGGUCCUCUGGAAGAGAAGCCAGUGUUCUUAACUGCUGAACCAUCUCUGCAACCCCCCACAUGCUGAAUUUUAAAUGCUUCUUUCCUCUCCCUCAGGCCCUGCUCCCAGAGCCCUGGAGAUCCUGUGCAAGCCCAGCCCUACCCUGCACACUCCAGGCUGUCCCUUCUGGCUCCUCAGUAUGGAGCAUUAACAGUCUGGUUUCUGGAUUCUCAGGCUCCUCCUGAACAGGAGGGACGGACAUCUUGGGUGUGGCUUCCUGCCUUCCACAUGUUGGCCUGGCUCCUUGGUUCCAGCCUCUGCAUCCUUGUUCUCCCCACCUCCUGUCUCGCCCUCCCCACUUCCCUGCCGGGGGCUCUCGCACUCUCCUAGUCUGUCUUUCCCUGCACAGUUCUCUCUGUCACUUCUCUCCACUGUCCUGGCCACCAGCACACACCGACAGCUGCUCCUCUGGGAGGCGUGAAGAAGAGCUGGCAGCUGAGUUUCUAUGGAGACAAGGUGGCAGGACCCAAGUCUCUCAGGACACUCCCUACCCACCACCAGUCACCACCUCCAAUGGCUUUCCCCAGCCUCUCAGUCCUCAAGAGACAUCACAUGUGUAGUGCCUCAUUCGUCUACUCAUUGUCUCUGUUCGAGGAUGGCAAAGGACUCAGCUUCCCACCCUGCCAGCACAGCUCAGGUAUCUCUGCAGGGGUGGGGUAAAUAGAAGAGCACACCUUGGUAGUAUAGAUCCUGUAGCCUAAGCUCAGAAGUUUGGCUUUGGCCUUGAGAAAUUGGUCAGUUGCUGAAGAGCUAGAGUGAGAUAGUUUGGCCAGACAUGGCUCUGCCUGCAGGAUGGAGGGUAGAUGUACAUACAGGCCAGAGGCUCAGGUAGCCUGACUCUGGUCAAGGAGUGAGCAGCUAAGAGAGUGGGAGCCUGGAGCUGAUGCCCUUUACAGAGCUAAAAGAGGCAGGUGGGGAUAACAAACAUGCACAGGCUGUAGCAUAAUGUUGGCAGAGUUCAGGGGAUGGAGGUGUUCAGUAGGAUGCUGGGAUGGGCAUCUAGAGCUCAAGGAGCAAGUCUGUGCAAGGGGCAAGUGGACUGGGCAGGAACCUAUAGCCAACAUGGGUCACUGAAACCAGAACUGUGGGUGUGGAUGUGGUUUCUAAGGGUGAUGUGAAGGCAGCAGAGAGGAGAGCUGGUGUUGGCUUUUUUGAAGAUGCUGAUGCUGAGCACAGGAAGCUGAACAGGGGAGGUCACAGAAGAGACUUCCAGAGAGAAAGUGGCCAACAGGCCACCUGCUGCUCAGUCCUCUAGGAAGCCCCUAUCCUCCUUGUUUGACAGGCAAUAAUGAUAAGAGAGCUGCUCAGGGAAGAGCUGAAAGCCAGCCCUGGCUUUAUCUGAUCCCAGGGGUUGCACUGUGUUUCUGCCCAUGAGGACUUGCCUGCAACUCAGCCCUGCCUAAUGCUCACACACUGGUGCCUCACAAGAAGGAGGCCUUGAAGGGGCCAUCUCACCAGGUGAAGCAUCCAUCCUGGUCUUGCUUCUAUGGACCAUGUGUCCAGGAGGCCCACCCCCCACAUAUAUGUACACAAGUCCAACAUGUGUACAUGUACAGACACAUGCACACACACAGAAGGGUGAAUCCAUCAGCCUGGAUAGAGUGGGGCCAGCCAGGUGCCUAGAAGUUUGUGUUUCUGUGAGAGCACUGCCUAGUUCCCACUGCUGGUCUGGGAGAAGGGGAUAAGGCCCUUCUGGGAGAGGGUUCUCUGUGCUAACCCAGGCACCCUCACAGAGAUGGAAACUUGGUCUUAUAGAACCAGCUGUACAGUAGUGGUGCUAAGCAACCUGGCCCUGGGAAGCCCCUCCAGGCUUUCCUCUCCUUUCCUUUGUUAGGGCAGAAAACUCCCUAGCAGGCUUCUUGCUCCUUUAGUCAGUUCCUGGAUCAGUUUCCAGAGCUUUCCAGAGCUCAAAUACUGAGGAAAUUUUUAUUCUGAUAAAUAAAAUUGGUAAUAAACGAUCAGGAAGCAACUAUCUUCUUACUGUCCAUUUUGUGAUCUGAUUGGGAUCUUUUCUUUCCUGUCACAGGGCCGUUGCACAUGCUGCUCCCUCUUGUCAGAAUGCCGUUCCCUAGAACUUUGUUAGUUAAUGUCUACCUGUCCUUCAAACCUCAGGCCAGGUAUGACUUACCAAGAAAACCAUUCCUCAAGUCCAAAUUCUUUCCAGAAUGGAGUUCCUUUCCUUCAGAUCUUCUCCAUGUAAGUGGUGUAUGAACAGAGCCUAUGUGACUGAGUCAGGGCCUAUGUCUGAGCUUUCCCAUUCUAUAGCCUGUACCAAGACAACUGUGUCAACUUGCUAGAUAUUUUCUGAAGAAGUAAAGGAAAAUGUUUUUAGUUUCAGAGGAUAGAGAUGACCUUGGUUCCCACCUAUGGGUUCUAGGCUAAUGGGGUCCCAGCUGCAUCAGGUUCUGGCUUAGAACUGUAAGUGAUCCUUAGCCCUGGCUCAGCUGCCCUUGUGUUACUGAGGAGUAGUUGUCGAACAGGGAGGACAGUGGUCACUGCAGAGGUAAAGGAGAGCCUGGGACACAGACUUAGAAGCUAGGCGAGGAGCUCCACCCUUGCCUCUGCUUUCUUUACUACAGGACUUCUCUGAGCUUUCUCAUCAGACUGUUGAGGCACACUGAAUCUUCAGAAGGAGGGGGCUUCUCUGCAGGUCCCUGAUGUGUUUGAUCUUGAGACUUAUUGAUUUAUUGAUUUUGCAGAGCAAAAGCAGGACUUGUAUGUAUAGGUGAUUCUUGGGAUGGAAAUGCUGACCUAUAGAAUAAAGUCCAAGUGUUUUUAGCUCUCUGUUUCUGUUGAUAAAGCCUGGGGUCCUGUAACUCUCCAUAUCCUCCACCUUUAUGCUUGGUCCAGCCUCCCAGUGAAGCUCACUUAUCCAGUUACCAGGCUAUCUGUUGCUCAUUCUCUCUGCUGAGAUGUCAGUCCUGUUGUUGGCUGCACUCCUUAAGGUCCCUGAGGCUUUGACCAAGAAUUGUCUCCUCUGUGAUGUUCUCUUUUACUUUUCCAGUGUUCCCAGAGUCCCUGGUGCAGCUUCCUAUCAGGACAUGGCCACAGUGUGCUAAGAGCUUCCGACAUAUCUGCUCUCCUUUUAAACUCCCCAGGGUCAAGGUCAAAGUCACAUCUUGUUCAUGGACAGGUCCCCAGUGACCAACAAGGACUUAAAUGCUGAAUGACAUCAAGGAGUCAGGAUAGAAAGUUCUGGUCCUAAAAACAUCAGUGAGAAGGGCAACCAGUCUCUCUUG
rnacentral:lncRNA from 1 species